rnacentral:lncRNA from 1 species
UGCUAACUAGAAAAUCAGUAUGACUGAUUUAGGUACCGCUAGUUCAACUUAUCUAAAAUUCUCUUCAUGACUUGGUGAAGUCAGUGGGAGGAUUUAUGACUAGUCGGCUGGACCAACUUAUGCCUAAUCUUCUUUAAUCUGACUUGAUGAAGUCAGUGAAAAGAUUAAGAUUAACUGGUCAAGUCUUUUUUCAUCUCUCA